rnacentral:rRNA from 1 species
GUCUACAGCCAUACCACCCUGAAUGCAUCCGAUCUCAUCUGACCUCAGAAGCUAAGCAGGGUCGGGCCUGGUUAGUACUUGGAUGGGAGAAUUGAACCCUGGCCUUCCGGCUUUGCAGGCA